AUUGAACGCUGGCGGCAGGCCUAACACAUGCAAGUCGAACGAGUGGCGGACGGGUGAGUAAUGUCUGGGAAACUGCCUGAUGGAGGGGGAUAACUACUGGAAACGGUAGCUAAUACCGCAUACCAUCAGAUGUGCCCAGAUGGGAUUAGCUUGUUGGUGGGGUAACGGCUCACCAAGGCGACGAUCCCUAGCUGGUCUGAGAGGAUGACCGACCACAAUGGAGGUGAGACAGGGUCCAGACUCCUAUGGUAGGCAGCAGUGUGGAAUAUUGCACAAUGGGCGCAAGCUUGCUGCAGCCCUGCCGCGUGUAUGAAGAAGGCCAUCUGGUUGUAAAGUACUUUCAGCGGGGCGGCGUUCCCCGCAGAAGAAGCACCGGCUAACUCCGUGCCAGCCGCCGCGGUAAUUC
rnacentral:rRNA from 1 species